rnacentral:rRNA from 1 species
UACGGAGGGGACUAGCGUUGUUCGGAAUUACUGGGCGUAAAGCGCACGUAGGCGGAUUUGUAAGUCAGGGGUGAAAGCCCGGGGCUCAACCCCGGAACUGCCUUUAAGACUGCAUCGCUUGAAUCCGGGAGAGGUGAGUGGAAUUCCGAGUGUAGAGGUGAAAUUCGUAGAUAUUCGGAAGAACACCAGUGGCGAAGGCGGCUCACUGGACCGGCAUUGACGCUGAUGUGCGAAAGCGUGGGGAGCAAACAGG